UACGUAGGGGGCAAGCGUUGUCCGGAUUUAUUGGGCGUAAAGAGCGUGUAGGCGGCUUUGCAAGUCCGUUGUGAAAACUCGAGGCUCAACCUCGAGACGCCGGUGGAAACUGCAAAGCUAGAGUCCGGAAGAGGAGAGUGGAAUUCCUGGUGUAGCGGUGAAAUGCGCAGAUAUCAGGAAGAACACCCGUGGCGAAGGCGGCUCUCUGGGACGGUACUGACGCUGAGACGCGAAAGCGUGGGGAGCGAAC
rnacentral:rRNA from 1 species